UACGUAGGGUGCAAGCGUUGUCCGGAAUCAUUGGGCGUAAAGAGCGUGUAGGCGGCUCGAUUAGUCCGCUGUAAAAGUCCAGGGCUCAACCCUGGGAUGCCGGUGGAAACUGUCGGGCUAGAGUCCGGGAGAGGCGAGUGGAAUUCCUGGUGUAGCGGUGAAAUGCGCAGAUAUCAGGAGGAACACCGAUGGCGAAGGCAGGUCUCUGGGCUGACACUGACGCUCAUGCACGAAAGCGUGGGGAGCAAACAGG
rnacentral:rRNA from 1 species